UCCUUUCUAUCCUUUCUUCUCUGAGCCGUUGAUUUUGGCUCUGUUUUUUAAAACCUUCUGUUCACGUCCUUUUCUCCACUUCAGCUGCUCUUUUUUGCCUUCCCUUCUGGGCAGAGCGAUGCUUCCCCGCUAUUUCGAGAGCUCUGCAAGUUUAUUUGGUUCUCCUGAGCUUGAUUCUUAUAUAAUUCAGCGAAAAGCUGAAUUCUCUCAGCACAAGAUCUAGCACCAGAGAGGUCAGAACGAAACGAUCUAGCGUUCCCCUGUUUCCACAAAACCCAGCAAGUCACGCCAAAAAUCAAGCCUCGAGUUAUUGGUAUUUGGAUUUAGCUUUCUCUGCGCUAAUUGCUUUGUUCUUCAGCAUAUCAAGAAAGACCUUUAACAUAAGGAAGGUUGAAUUUCUUUCAAUGGCCGGUGAAGCCUUUGGAACCAAUCGCAUCCUCCAACCCGACCAGAUGAUGCCAGAGCCGUGUUCCAUUCAAGGAAUUUAAAAAAAACAAAAAAGAAAAAAGAAUGGAACACUAAACGGUAGUUGGAUUGGAGUCAAUUCGGGAUUAAGUCAACUGUUUCAGUCUGUCGGUCAAUUCAACAACCAAUCCAAACCACACCACAACUGCCAAUCAUCAAAUGGAGUUGCUGCCAUCGGUGAUGUCUCAACACUUCCCCAGUUUUCCUUCUCUCCUCUCCUCAUCCUUUCAGUCACCUUCAUCUUGACUCCUACUUGGUUUUCAAUUUCCCUCUCUCUGGUUCUUUUCUUUCCCUCAGUUUGUGCAUCCUCGUUUCUUUGCACUUCGAUUCUUCAUUUUAGCUUCCCUCUGAUAUUCCCAAAAUCAACAAUCAACAA